rnacentral:rRNA from 1 species
GUCUAUUUGGAGAUAUAAAAAGUUUAACCUGCCCACUGAUAAAAAUAAAUUAAAUGGCCGCGGUAUUUUGACCGUGCAAAGGUAGCAUAAUCGUUAGUUUUUUAAUUGGAAUCUUGUAUGAAUGGUUGGACAAAAGAAAAUCUGUCUUUAUAUUAUUUAUUGAAUUUAACUUUUAAGUGAAAAGGCUUAAAUAAAUUAAAGGGACGAUAAGACCCUAUAAAGCUUAAUAUUAAAAUUUUAUUUAGUUGAAUUUUUUAUUAUAAAAACUUAGUAAUUAAAUUUAUUUUAUUGGGGCGAUAAGAGUAAAAUGGUCAUUAACUGCUUAACUUUUUAUACACUUAUAAGUGAUUAAUUUUUUAAAUGAUCCUAAGUAAAGAUUAAAAGUUUAAGUUACUUUAGGGAUAACAGCGUUAUUUUUCUUAAGAGUACUUAUCGAAAGAAAAGUUUGCGACCUCGAUGUUGAAUUAAAAUGUCUUUAUAAUAGCAGCAGUUAUAAAAGUAGGUCUGUUCGACCUUUAAAAUUUU